rnacentral:rRNA from 1 species
UACGUAGGGACCGAGCGUUGUCCGGAAUCAUUGGGCGUAAAGAGCGUGUAGGCGGCCACUUAAGUCCUGCGUGAAAUCCUGCGGCUCAACCGCAGGCGGUCGUGGGAAACUGGGUGGCUAGAGUGCGGGAGAGGAGAGUGGAAUUCCUGGUGUAGCGGUGGAAUGCGUAGAUAUCGGGAGGAACAUCAGUGGCGAAGGCGACCGCCUGGCCCAACACUGACGCUGAGGUGCGAAAGCGUGGGUAGCAAACGAG